ACAGGGAUUGCUCUAGUAACGGCGAGUGAAGCAGCAAUAGCUCAAAUUUGAAAUCUGGCGUCUUCGACGUCCGAGUUGUAAUUUGUAGAGGAUGCUUCUGAGUGGCCACCGACCUAAGUUCCUUGGAACAGGACGUCAUAGAGGGUGAGAAUCCCGUAUGCGGUCGGAAAGGCGCUCUAUACGUAGCUCCUUCGACGAGUCGAGUUGUUUGGGAAUGCAGCUCUAAAUGGGAGGUAAAUUUCUUCUAAAGCUAAAUAUUGGCCAGAGACCGAUAGCGCACAAGUAGAGUGAUCGAAAGAUGAAAAGCACUUUGGAAAGAGAGUUAAAAAGCACGUGAAAUUGUUAAAAGGGAAGGGAUUGCAACCAGACUUGCUCGCGGUGUUCCGCCGGUCUUCUGACCGGUCUACUCGCCGCGUUGCAGGCCAGCAUCGUCUGGUGCCGCUGGAUAAGACUUGAGGAAUGUAGCUCCCUCGGGAGUGUUAUAGCCUCUUGUGAUGCAGCGAGCGCCGGGCGAGGUCCGCGCUUCGGCUAGGAUGCUGGCGUAAUGGUCGUAAUCCGCCCGUCUUGAAACACGGACCAAGGAGUCUAACAUCUAUGCGAGUGUUCGGGUGUCAAACCCCUACGCGUAAUGAAAGUGAACGGAGGUGAGAACCGCAAGGUGCAUCAUCGACCGAUCCUGAUGUCUUCGGAUGGAUUUGAGUAAGAGCAUAGCUGUUGGGACCCGAAAGAUGGUGAACUAUGCC
rnacentral:rRNA from 1 species